CCCGCUCAGAAACUUAAAGGAAUUGACGGGGGCCCGCACAAGCGGUGGAGCAUGUGGUUUAAUUCGAUGAUACGCGAGGAACCUUUACCUGGGCUCAAAUGUAUGUUGACGUAUUCUGAAAGAGGCACUCCCUUCGGGGCAGAUGUGUAGGUGCUGCAUGGUUGUCGUCAGCUCGUGCCGUGAGGUGUCGGCUUAAGUGCCAUAACGAGCGCAACCCUCAUCAUUAGUUACCAUCAGGUAAGGCUGGGGACUCUAAUGAGACUGCCAUCGUAAGAUGUGAGGAAGGUGGGGAUGACGUCAAAUCAGCACGGCCCUUACGUCCGGGGCGACACACGUGUUACAAUGGGUGGUACAAAGGGCAGCUACCUGGCGACAGGAUGCUAAUCUCGAAAACCGCUCUCAGUUCGGAUCGGAGUCUGCAACUCGACUCCGUGAAGCUGGAUUCGCUAGUAAUCGCGCAUCAGCCACGGCGCGGUGAAUACGUUCCCGGGCCUU
rnacentral:rRNA from 1 species